GCUGACUGCGGGCCGAAUACGCUGCAGUCGGCGCGAGGUGGUGCUGCGCCGGGGGCCGGAGCACGUUUCCACCAGGGACGACGGGAGGAACCUGUACAGCUAUUUCAGCUCCCUGCAAGGCGUGGGCGGCUUCCAGGACCACUUUGAUUGGUGGGCCAGAAAUCAGUUCUCCUGCCAGGGUGGCAAGCCCCUUUGGAUUGACCCGCACGACUCUAGUGUGCAUCACAUCUGCAUCGAUGACAACAUUCGACUGAAUGAUUCAGACACCAUCAUUUGUCCCCAGGUGUUUUCAGGGAGAGGAGGCAGCUGCGCCAGGCCAGCUCCCACCUCGGAGCUGUAUGAUGUCUGCCUGGUGCAGACCAAUCUCCUGGAGGCCAUUGCUGAUGAGAGCUAUUUCCUCCGCUGCGUGAGAAGGUGUGAGGAGAACUAUGAGCGCUACCUGGCCAGUGCUGAGAGCCAGCUGUGUGAGGCAGAGUAGAGUCACUCCGCACCUAGCAGCUGGAGGGGGGACGUGGGGUCCUGUGGGCUGCUCCCCGUUUGCAGCUGUCUGCAGUUUGAUUCCUAGGCUGGGCCCCGGGCCCCGUCGCACCCACAUCCCAGUGGAACCGAUGCACUUGCUUUUAGCUGUGCUCCCCUUCUUCCGGACUGGUGUGUGCUGCUGACCUGGAGGCAGGAAGCUCCAGGCACCCUUCGGAAAUGCAAGCGUCUGCCUGCUACAGGAGGAAACUGCUUUCCGCCGUGCCCUGUCUCCACUCUUGGUGGGGUUUGGGGGGUUUCAUCUUGCCUCUCAAGAUGCCUGGCUGGGCAGUGCUCCUGCGGGUGAUCGGUGUCGUAUCCCCCUUGGCUCUGUGUGGAAGGGACUGUCUCUCUGUUAUGUUUGUACAGCGGGCUUGGCGCACUAGCUGUGCUGCAGUACAAAUAGUUGUCAUAAUUGUGAUGAAGUGGGACUGGUCUUAAUGUUUCCUCUGAAUACUGUGUGGGUGCCUCAGUUUCCCCUGUGCAUUUCUUAAAUCUCCUGUGUGCAUAAAUGGCUGAUAAUCUGUCUCCUGGCAACAAAUGGCCGGGGCCCUUUUCCCCCUUGCAAGGGGAUAGCUAAAGGUGAACAAAGAGAUCAGGUGACCUCCUGGCCCAGGAAAGAGACAAAGCCCAGAGGUGGAGGGGCUGGAGGGGGUUUUCAGUUUGGGGCUGGCUGGGGAUGGGGAGUGAGGGCAGACGGGGUGGUCUGGCUCACUGGGCCCCAGAAUGGACCCGGCUGAGGGAUCCCAUUCGCUGGACCUACAAGCUCUGUUUUAGACCAUGUUCCUGUCAUCU